rnacentral:tRNA from 1 species
GGGGGUUUAUCUCAGUGGUGGAGUGUGUGCUUGGUGUGCACGAGGUUCUGGGUUCAACUCCCAGUGCCUCUG